rnacentral:misc_RNA from 1 species
GUGAGUCAUCGAAUCUUUGAACGCACAUUGCGCCCGCCAGUAUUCUGGCGGGCAUGCCUGUCCGAGCGUCAUUUCAACCCUCGAACCCCUCCGGGGGGUCGGCGUUGGGGAUCGGCCCUUUCACCGGGUGCCGGCCCCUAAAUACAGUGGCGGUCUCGCCGCAGCCUCUCAUGCGCAGUAGUUUGCACACUCGCACCGGGAGCGCGGCGCGUCCACGUCCGUAAAACACCCCAACUUCUGAAAUGUUGACCUCGGAUCAGGUAGGAAUACCCGCUGAACUUAAGCAUAUCAAUAAGCGGAGGA